AUGAAGAGGAGCUCCAGGUCCGGCAAUGACGGCGAUGGUGGAGAGGUGGGCGGGGCUCGGAUUGGUGGUGGCGAGCUGUCAAAGCCUACCUCAGCAAUGCCUGCGCCCGCCGCGUGCGCAAGCUCAAGGCCGAGCUCGGCAAGGACAACAAGAACCUCCAGGUCUCCAUUGACGAACACGAGAAGCCCACGCCGCAUCUUCACCAACAACGCUAGCGGCAGCUUGAACCCCUACCGGGGCAAAAGCGUCUGGAGCCACGUCCCCUUCGAGCACCCCACCACCUUUGACACGCUUGAGAGCAAGGAAUACUACGCCAAGGUCGGCAAGGCGUGGAAACGUGGGUACCUCCUUUAUGGACCACCCGGCACCGGCAAGUCCACCAUGGUCGCCGCCAUGGCUAACUUCCUUGACUACACGUCUACGACCUCGAGCUCACGACGGUCAAGAACAACACCAAGUUGCGAGAGCUCUUCAUUGAGACCACGGGCAAGUCCAUCAUCAUCAUCAUUGAGGACAUUGACUGCUCCGUCGACCUCACCGGAAAAUGCCGCGAGAACAAGAAGGUCGCAAGCGACAAGGGCACACAUUGAUGACAAGCCCAAGCUACCGGCUGUGGUCUGCUUGUGGAGCAUCAUCGUCGCCACGGACGACGAGGAGAAGCUAGACCCGGCGUUGAUCGGGAGGGGCAGGAUGGACAAGCACAUCGAGAUGUCCUACUGCCUCUUCGAGGGCUUCAAGGUGCUCGCCAAAAACUACCAAGAUGUCAUCGAGCAUAAGCUCUUUGGGGAAAUUCAGUGGCUGCUCGAGGAGACAGACAAGUCGCCCGCCGGCGUUGCAGAGAACGUGAUGCCCACAUCGAAGAAGAAAAAGAGUGACCCCGGCGUGUGCUUGACAGGCCUCAUCGAGGCGCUGA
rnacentral:rRNA from 1 species